CCCCAGUGGCCCUGAGAGGUGCUCCAGCCCUGACUGUUUGCCUGGCCCAAUGGGCGGACCUCUGUGGACCGUCCCAUCCCAGCAGAGGCAUCAGGGCUGGAGGGAGAGGAGCUGGACCCCCGUGGCAGGGCCACUGUACCCUCCCUGUCCCCUCUCAACGCCUGUGCCUUGGGGUGACCCUGCUGCUGGCUGCCCCUCCGCCUGUGCCCCCAUUAGUCAGUGAUUAGAUAUCCAUCUUUGCUUCCUAUCAAGAAGCUCCUGAAUUGGGCCAUUAUGCAGAGAAAAAAGUGUUUUUCAAUGAUCACCGGGGAGAGGAGACGCCGCCAGCACUGAGUGGAGAAUCAAUUUGAGCCAGGAAGGCCUGGCCAUCCAUCUCCCUUUGCGGGGUAAUUUAGGCCUUGGAGCUGACAGAGCAGAUAGCAGAGCCACAGCCACACAGAGGCCCUGGCCGAGGCUGAAGAAUGCGGCCGCUCUGUGGUCAUUAUCUUGGGGAGGCUGCUGCCAGGAGGAGGGGCAGGAAGAAAAAUUGGGCCCAUCUGGGAAGAGUGAUCUUUCCACGAGGAUGCUCUUGGAGGAGGCGGUUAUCCGUCCCCCGGUGACCUCCCUGCAGCCCGCGGUUUAUGGGUUUGGUUUUGUGUGGCAGCCACAGGCACAGUGGGGUGGCCCUGGGGAAUGGACACUGCCCGUGUGGUGCUGGACAGACUGGCCGCUGCCGUCCCUGCCCUUCCUAACUGCUGGCUGUCACCCAGACUCUACCAGGAGUGACCCUUCCCUGUGCCGAUCUGACGAGACUAAUGGUCCGAGGGAGCCGAGGCUCCAGGAGAUGGAUUAGCCGGAGAGUGGAGGAAGCCACAGCCGUGCCACAGCCACCACGAGGCCAGCGAGGGCGGGUGCACACUGGAGGACUUCAGCCUCAGAGCCACUCAUGGCCAGCGGGAAAGCUGAGCAUGGCAGGCCCCUUCUCUCUGUGAGUCAUUGUUUGCCUCUGCCAACCAGGGAUAAUGAUGGAUAUUUACAUACUUCCAACGUCAGCAUGAAGGGUGCGUGCGGAGCACUGCCUCUCUGCUGACCCACCCUAAGGGCAGUGAGAUGGGCAGAGGCUGCCACUGGUCACUCAUGAGUUCAUUCAGUAAUUAGCAGCUAAGGGCCCGAUCCGUGCCACUGCCGGCACGGUAGAGAACCCCUGGCUCUCACGGCGGCUGCUCUCCAGGGGGCCCUCCCAUCCGCCCAUCUGCCUGCCUGGGGAGAUGCUGAGACUGAGUGGUCCUUCCCGGGAAGGAGCCAGGACUCCUGCAGGGGCUGCAUGUGGGUGCUCCACCUUGGCCACUGCUCCUGGCCACGUGGGCUGUCUGGUAAGUAAGACGACUCUUGUGCACUUUCGGAAUGAUGCCCCUGAGAGAUGCUGCUGAUCAAAGGGUAGCUCAGAAACUGGACAUCAGACGCGAAGUUUGUCUCCGAAUUUGACAUAAUGAAACAGAAUAGAAAGAAGCCACACAUGGCAGCACAGCGUCUUUGUCCACAGGGACUGCAGCGCUCCUCUCAGGGGCCAUUUGCGCUCACACCUAGUGCCAGCGGGACAGAACCCAAGCGUGUCAAAAUAUCGGUACCCAGAAGUUUUUCCUGCUUAUAUCAACAUACGGACCUGACUCAGGACUUGUGCUAAAUUCUAUCUUCUAUAAAAACUUCAAGAUGAUUAAUUAAUUUAUUUAAAACUCUAGUUUAAUUUCCUUAUACAAAUAGGC
rnacentral:lncRNA from 1 species